rnacentral:rRNA from 1 species
UACGUAGGGUGCAAGCGUUGUCCGGAAUUAUUGGGCGUAAAGAGCUCGUAGGCGGUCUGUCACGUCGGGCGUGAAAACUCAGGGCUCAACCCUGAGCGUGCUUCCGAUACGGGCGGACUAGAGGUAUGCAGGGGAGAACGGAAUUCCUGGUGUAGCGGUGGAAUGCGCAGAUAUCAGGAGGAACACCGGUGGCGAAGGCGGUUCUCUGGGCAUUACCUGACGCUGAGGAGCGAAAGCAUGGGGAGCGAACAGG